GAUUUUACAUAUAGAUUAAAGUAUAUAUAAUUUUUUUUAUCGAACGUUGAAGAAUGGAUUUUCGGAGCCCCCUUGAGGAAGGAUCGUCAUUUGACUCGUAACCGUCUGCGCAUGCGCCUGCGGCCGCUGCGGGUUUUGCGCACGGGGACGCGACAGCAGCGGAGGAAUCCAUAGCAACGGCGGAUAAACAUGAGUUACUACAGCAGAGCCUCCAGUUCUUCCAGCUUCGCGUCCAGCGCCAUGACCAGUACGCUGGAGGACGACAGUCUGAACCUCAGACAGCAGAAACUGGAGAAACAGAGGGCGCUGCUGGAGCAGAAGCAGCGUCGAAAGCGUCAGGAA